rnacentral:lncRNA from 1 species
UUUUCUUCACUUGGAAUGUAAAUCCACUUGUCUCUUAGCCAUCUUGCUAUCCAACAUUUGGACCUUUGGAACCCACACAUAAGAUUUGAUAUUUGAUCUCUUAGAUCCACACAUCCCUUGGCCUAUUUUCAGUCUUUUUAUAGACCCAAGUCAUAACUCAAAUAAGAGCCAUGAAAGGAGUCUAAACACCCUCCAACACCCAACCCUUGGGCAUCCAAACUAGAGGCAUG